rnacentral:rRNA from 1 species
UACGUAGGGACCAAGCGUUGUUCGGAUUUACUGGGCGUAAAGGGCGCGUAGGCGGCGUGUUAAGUCACUUGUGAAAUCUCUAAGCUUAACUUAGAACGGUCAAGUGAUACUGAUGUGCUAGAGUGCAGAAGGGGCAACCGGAAUUCUUGGUGUAGCGGUGAAAUGCGUAGAUAUCAAGAGGAACACCUGAGGUGAAGACGGGUUGCUGGGCUGACACUGACGCUGAGGCGCGAAAGCUAGGGUAGCAAACGGGG